rnacentral:lncRNA from 10 species
AAAAAAAAAAGAGUUGACCAGAGAGAUGCCAUAGAAUCUCUGCGCUUGGGAAUCUUUGAAAGAUAAGGCAGGCACCACCCUCCCUCCUUUGAAGGGCUUUGAAAUCCAGGCAGAGUGAAACUCUUAGAGCGCUCUGAAUCAAGAGACCAUUGGAGCACUGGCUACUUCUGUGUGUGAGAAGUGUGGUUUGGUAAAAAAGAGCAUUGCACUGUGCUGCUAACACAGGGGUGUGACCUUGGGCAAGUCACUUGCCUAUUCUCAGUCUCCUUUUCAUCUGCAGCAGGAUGAGGGAUUAAGCUAAUUGACCUCUUAAAGUCCCUUACAACUCUGACACUCCACGAUGAAAUGGAAUAAUGUGUGAGUAAUUGCUUUGAAAACUGCAUAGCACUAGGGGUCUUUUUGUUGUUAUUUUUAUAUAGAUAAAGGUGACCUGAGAGUUCAUUAAACUCUGAAACUGGUUGUAAAUCAGGCCAUCCACAGCCUACCAGCUGAGAUUGCAACAGGGCAUUUUUUGGCGACAGGUUUCUCUGGCCUGUGAAUCAGUAUUAUUUAUUCUGUUUGUACUGUCAGUUCCUGCCCUGGUUUUGUAGCCUGAGGCAGCCACUCUUCGCACUCUGCCUUGGUUUCUCCACCUCACUUGCCUUCUCCAACUUCUUGUGAUUCAGAUGAAUCAUGCUAUGCCUUUGCCAAGCUUGGAUCUCCUGGAAACAGGACUGCAAAUUUGGAGGAAGAAAAACGAGAACCAGAUUGGUUUGCCACAACUAACUUUGACCAUUCUCCUUUUUCCUUCUCUGUGAUCUUCCAGUUGUAUGGGGGGCUCUGGGAUGUAUGCAGAUGGGGAGGGGGAAUAGGCUGAAGAUUGAGAAAGAAAAAGGCAGGUGCCAAUCAUAAAGGAAAGGAUUUAAAAAUGUAUUCCUACCAAUUCAGAAAUAGGGAAAGACAUCUAAACCAUCAGGAGGGUCAGAUGAUCAUUAUGCACUAUACAAAAAAGAGUUCCUAGACUGGAAACCUGGUGCAGAGUUUAGUUCUGCUUGGGCAGGUCAGGGUAGUCUUCAGAAGGGGGUGAUACCUGGGAUAUUUCUAAGGAGAAAGAGCAGUUUUUCUUGUAGUGAGAAGUGCAUCUAGCCUGUGGGUAGGGCCUGAGCAAGGCAGAAAGUGAGACUGUGUAGUGGGGCUUGCGUCUCCUAGGAAAGGCCAGUCGCCAGGUGUGUUGUGAGCUCAGGUGAAGAUGGCAGAACUGGAGCUGGAAGGCAGAGUUAUAAAUGGUUUUAUCUGUCCUCUUAAGAAAUUUGGACUUUAUUUUGUAGGAAAUGGAGAAUAGCUACAGUCUUUUGAAUAGGUGGGAGAGAUCAGUGGUAGGAACAUUGUUUUUCAAACUUCAGGUUAUACAGGGAAAUUCAGGUCAUGACUGACAUUUGAAAAAUAGAAUGGAUGAGAAUAGAAUGGAAUAGAAAAAUAUGAAAAUCUGUGUGUGCUUAGAGACGGAGUUUCAACCAUGUUAGCCAAGAUGUUCUCGAUCUCCUGACCUCGUGAUCCUCCCGCCUCGGCCUCUCAAAGUGCUGGGAUUACAGGUGAGCCACCGCGCCCAGCCCACCCCUUUCUUUAUCAUGUAUUCAUUCCUUAUUUACAGCUUUGCCCUCCAUCCCUACCUUCCUUUGGUCAUCCACUAUUGUGUCAGGAACACCAAUCAGUCAUUCCACAAAUAAUGAGUAUGAUCAAAGAUCAAACAUCUUUGAUGUGAAUAGCACUUGUCUUGGCUAUUAUCCAAUGUCUGGGCCCUGGCCAUUCUCUAUGGCCAGGGAUAUGAUCAGGGCUGGCCAGAUGCACAGGGAGGGCACGACAUGGGGGAAGUGUACGCAUUUACACCUGCCAGGCUGGAAGACCAUCCUUUUGACCAACAUGAGCUCCUACGAGACAUAACAAGGCUUUUUUCCCUUUGCUUGGAACGAGGAACCAUAGAAUUUGCUGAGGUGGGGAGGUUCUAGUGGGUCAUCAAAUCUAGCCUCUCCCAUCUGAUGCAAGAAUCGGCGUUACAACUUCUCUGACGUUGCUCAACCAGCUUCUCCUUGAACACCCCCAGAUGUGAGCUAACUUGAUCUCCUCACCCCAUUUUUUUGGAAAGCUUUAUGUGUUAGGCAAUUCGUAUAAUUCUCUGUCAGGCUUGAUCUGAUUCCCUAAUCCACCCAUGGGUCCCAUUUCUACUUCUUGGGAUGACAUAGAAGAGUUCUAAUCCCUCUUCCAUGUGAUAGCUCUUCAAAUAUUUGAAGGCAGACGUGAUGUCAUUCUUAGUCUUUUCAUGCUGAGGAUGCCCAGUGUGUGCCAGUUUUGCAAUUCUUAGGAUUCUUAGUAAUGUCAAUCUCACUUGCA